rnacentral:lncRNA from 1 species
GACGUUUCUCACAUGGUUAAAAAUCGGCCGAUUUUUCGUAUGGUAAAGCCUUGGCCAUUUUUGGACCGUUUUUGGCGCAACCGUUGUGCACCCCGAACGAGCCCACCCCGACCCUAGGCCCUGGGCUUUUUUCUGUGUCAUACUGGGUGCAAUAUAGAUGGGUUUCCACACCUAUCCGCGGGCUAUCAUCGGCCUAAAGAGGUUGCACAAGAUCAAAGAAACACAACUAGUCCAUGGGUAGAAAAGUAUUGGGACGAAAAUAAAAAACUGAGUCCGGGCAUCUCCGAGCGGUUCUUGUGGGAAAAAACUUUGAUAUUACUCAGAGUGAGGCCUCCUUAGUUAUCUGUCAUUUUCGGGACGUUUUCACAUGGUUAAAAUCGGCCGAUUUUUCGUAUGGUAAAGCCUUGGCCAUUUUUGGACCGUUUUUGGCGCAACCGUUGUGCACCACCCGAACGAGCCCCACCCGACCCCUAGCCCCUGGGCUUUUUUCUGUGUCAUACUGGGUGCAAUAUAGAUGGGUUUCCACACCUAUCCGCGGGCUAUCAUCGGGCUAAAGAGGUUGCACAAGAUCAAAGAAACAAAACUAGUCCAUUGGUAAGAAAAGUAUCGGGACGAAAAUAAAAACUGAGUCCGGCAUCUCGAGCGGUUCUUGUGGAAAAAACUUUGAUAUUACUCAGAGUGAGGCUCCUAGUAGUUAUCUGUGAAUUUUCGGGACGUUUCUCACAUGGUUUAAAAAUCGGCCGAUUUUUCGUAUGGUAAAGCCUUGGCCAUUUUUGGACCGUUUUUGGCGCAACCGUUGUGCACUCCGAAGGAGCCCCACCCGACCCUAGGCCCUGCGGCUUUUUUUCUGUGUCAUACUGGGUGCAAUAUAGAUGGUUUCCACACCUAUCUGCGGGCUAUCAUCGGCCUAAAUAGGUUGCACAAGAUCAAAGAAACACAACUAGUCCAUGGGAAGAAAAGUAUUGG